GAUGAACGCUAGCGGCAGGCUUAACACAUGCAAGUCGAGGGGCAGCAUGAUGAAACUUUCGGGUUUCAUUGAUGGCGACCGGCGCAAGGGUGCGUAACGCGUGAGCAACUUGCCCGUUUCAGGGGGAUAACCGGUGGAAACGCCGACUAAUACCCCAUAGUAUCUCUUUAAGGCAUCUUUUAGAGAUUAAAGAAUUUCGGAAACGGAUAGGCUCGCGUGACAUUAGCUAGAUGGUGAGGUAACGGCUCACCAUGGCGACGAUGUCUAGGGGUUCUGAGAGGAAGGUCCCCCACACUGGAACUGAGACACGGACCAAACUCCUACGGGAGCAGCAGUGAGGAAUAUUGGUCAAUGGACGCAAGUCUGAACCAGCCAUGCCGCGUGCAGGAUGACGGCUCUAUGAGUUGAAACUGCUUUUGAUGAGGGUAAUAGUCAGGUACGUGUACCUGCUUGAAAGUNU
rnacentral:rRNA from 1 species